GAUGGUUUACAGCUGAACCGCUGAGGACUGUGUCUGGACCCGGGGCACCUGAUGACAUGCCGGUGUUGCGGUGCGGACAGAAACCCUGCAGAACCAAUUAGUGCUACGGAGACGGCUUGUGAAUCGCAUUCGUUUCCUAACAUCAGGACACGUGCAUUGUUUAUAUUAGGCGACGGAGUCAAGCUAUUGACUCACGCAAUGAGGGCCGGGAUGAAAAUAUCACUGCAGCGUGAACAAAGGGUCCCUCAGGAGGAGAAGCAUCUAUCUCGGAUGGCUGGGGUUCAGACAUUCAGACUCUGUUGUUGGCAGCUUAUGGAAAAUCACCAUCUUUGCAAGGCAGCUUGCCAAGGGGCUGCCUGCCCCCCCGCCUCUUCCCCCCACCCCCGUCACCGCCGGCCUGCAGGGCUGGGCAUAGCAGCAAUUACAUUUGAUCCUGCUUCCCAUCUCGUCAGUCCAACUCCCUUCACCUGCCUCUGAUCACUCCCUCGUCAAUCCCUCAUUACCUUCACCUGGUCCUCAUGCCCGUCUCACCUGUUGUCCAUUCCCUCGUUAGUCCCUGUCUACUUAGGUCCCCUCACAUGCACUUGUCCUCUGCCAGAUUGUUUUGUGUUCUUCCUGACCAAGCCCUCCAGAGUUACAAAUUGUAUCUAUCUGUUCCUGCCUGUUUUGUUCCUACCAUUACUCGGAGUAAA